rnacentral:rRNA from 1 species
GGUGUGCCGGGGCUGUCGCUGACCCUUUUAAAGUCGUGCACGCCUCGAGCACUCUCACCCAUGUCCAUCACACCCUUGUGCAUCACCGCGUGGGCUCCGUUAAAAAAAGGGGCCUGCGUUUUUCUUACAUGGACGCCAGUCGUAGGAUGUUCAUUAUGUGAUUAGUACAUGAUCAAUACAACUUUCAACAACGGAUCUCUUGGCUCUCGCAUCGAUGAAGAACGCAGCGAAAUGCGAUACGUAAUGUGAAUUGCAGAAUUCAGUGAAUCAUCGAAUCUUUGAACGCACCUUGCGCCUCUUGGCAUUCCGAGGGGCACACCCGUUUGAGUGUCGUGAAAUCCUCAACCUUUCACCGUUUCUUUGAUCGGAGAAGGCUUGGACUUUGGAGGCUAUUGCCGGCUCCCCUCUACGGGGCCAGCUCCUCUUAAAUCGAUUAGCAGGGUCUCCUUUGCUGAUCCUCGGACGUGAUAAGCUGCUUCUACGUCCCCGGGUUUGGCUUCUCUUGCCUUGCUUCUAAUCCGUCGGACUUUUUACCUUUUGACCUCAAAUCGGGUGAGACUACCCGCUGAACUUAAGCAUAUCAAUAG